CCUACGGGUGGCAGCAGUGGGGAAUAAUGGGCAAUGGGCGCAAGCCUGACCCAGCAACGCCGCGUGAAGGAAGAAGGCUUUCGGGUUGUAAACUUCUUGUAAGAGGGAAGAGAAGAAGACGGUACGUAUGGAAUAAGCCACGGCUACCGCCGGGCCAGCAGCCGCGGUAAUACGUAGUUGGCAAGCGAUGUCCGGAUUUACUGGGUGGAAAGGGCGUGUAGGCGGGCUGACCAGUCAGAUUUGAAAUUCCGGGGCUCAACCCCGGACCUGCAUUUGAAACUGUUGGUCUUGAGUAUCGGAGAGGCAGGCGGCAUUCCUCGUGUAGCGGUGACAUGCGUAGAUAUUAGGAGGAACACCAGUGGCGAAGGCGGCCUGCUGGACGACAACUGACGGUGAGGCGCGAAAGCGUGGGGAGCAAACAGGAUUAGAUACCCCUGUAGUC
rnacentral:rRNA from 1 species